UACGAAGGGGGCUAGCGUUGUUCGGAAUUACUGGGCGUAAAGGGCGCGUAGGCGGUCUAAUAAGUCAGAUGUGAAAGCCCCGAGCUUAACUUGGGAACUGCAUUUGAUACUGUUAGACUAGAGAGUGAGAGAGGAAAGUGGAAUUGCGAGUGUAGAGGUGAAAUUCGUAGAUAUUCGCAAGAACACCAGUGGCGAAGGCGGCUUUCUGGCUCACAACUGACGCUAAGGCGCGAAAGCGUGGGGAGCAAACAGG
rnacentral:misc_RNA from 1 species